AGAAAUAAUAAAUGUGUAAAGAAUCAAGCUUAAAAAAACAAACAAACCUGAAGGUGUAAAUUAACAAAUGUAAUAGUUUGGAAACUGGGUUAAAAACUUGGUAUAUUGAGACCAUCUAUACCAGGAGACUGCACUUAGAGUAAGGGAUAUCCCUCUUCCCUCCUAUGCUCAUACACAGAGAAAAUACACCAGCUCCGAAAUACAUAGCCAAAUGGGAAAGCGAAAAUGAAACCACACUGAACACGCAGGAAUGGGAUAAAAUCUAUAUACUCACACAUAAAUGCUCCAAG